rnacentral:rRNA from 1 species
GACGUAGGGCGCGAGCGUUGUCCGGAUUUAUUGGGCGUAAAGAGCUCGUAGGCGGCUUGUCGCGUCGAAUGUGAAAUCUCAGGGCUCAACUCUGACAUUGCAUUCGAUACGGGCAGGCUAGAGUUCGGUAGGGGAGACUGGAAUUCCUGGUGUAGCGGUGGAAUGCGCAGAUAUCAGGAGGAACACCGGUGGCGAAGGCGGGUCUCUGGGCAGUAACUGACGCUGGAGGAGCGAAAGCGUGGGGAGCGAACAGG